rnacentral:rRNA from 1 species
UACGUAGGGGGCAAGCGUUGUCCGGAUUUAUUGGGCGUAAAGAGCGUGUAGGCGGCUUGGUAGGUCUGCUGUGAAAACUCGAGGCUCAACCUCGAGCUGUCGGCGGAAACCACUUGGCUAGAGUCCGGAAGAGGAGAGUGGAAUUCCUGGUGUAGCGGUGAAAUGCGCAGAUAUCAGGAAGAACACCUAUGGCGAAGGCGCUCUCUGGGACGGUACUGACGCUGAGGAGCGAAAGCGUGGGGAGCGAACAGG